AUUGAACGCUGGCGGCAGGCUUAACACAUGCAAGUCGAGCGGAGAUGAGGUGCUUGCACCUUAUCUUAGCGGCGGACGGGUGAGUAAUGCUUAGGAAUCUGCCUAUUAGGGGGGGACAACAUUCCGAAAGGAAUGCUAAUACCGCAUACGUCCUACGGGAGAAAGCAGGGGAUCUUCGGACCUUGCGCUAAUAGAUGAGCCUAAGUCGGAUUAGCUAGUUGGUGGGGUAAAGGCCUACCAAGGCGACGAUCUGUAGCGGGUCUGAGUGGAUGAUCCGCCACACUGGGACUGAGACACGGCCCAGACUCCUACGGGAGGCAGCAGUGGGGAAUAUUGGACAAUGGGGGGAACCCUGAUCCAGCCAUGCCGCGUGUGUGAAGAAGGCCUUAUGGUUGUAAAGCACUUUAAGCGAGGAGGAGGCUACUGAGACUAAUACUCUUGGAUAGUGGACGUUACUCGCAGAAUAAGCACCGGCUAACUCUGUGCCAGCAGCCGCAGUAAGAC
rnacentral:rRNA from 1 species